AAAUUGACGGUAGGAAUGUGAAAGCACUUUACAGGAGGGCACAGGCAUACAUCCAACAUGUUUGCAAAGAUGAACAAACUAGAGCAAAUUAAAACAACUAAUGCAGCAACAAAGCAGGAAGCAGUGCCCAUGACCAUAGAUAGCAAGGCAUAAUAAUGAUGUAGCUGGUGUCUAGUUAAAGUGUCCUAAAAUGGUUGCUCUCUCUCAUAUGUGGU